rnacentral:rRNA from 1 species
CAAUAGCGUAUAUUAAAGUUGUUGCAGUUAAAAAGCUCGUAGUUGGAUUUGUGGUGUACGCCGGCGGCCCGUCGCAAGACGGAGCUUGCUUGCGUCGCCAUCCUUGGGUGGAUCCUGUGUGGCAUUCAGUUGUCGUGCAGGGGAUGCCCAUCGUUUACUGUGAAAAAAUUAGAGUGUUCAAAGCAGGCUUAUGCCGUUGAAUAUAUUAGCAUGGAAUAAUAAGAUAGGACCUUGGUACUAUUUUGUUGGUUUGCGCACCAAGGUAAUGAUUAAUAGGGACAGUUGGGGGUAUUCGUAUUCCAUUGUCAGAGGUGAAAUUCUUGGAUUUUUGGAAGACGAACUACUGCGAAAGCAUUUGCCAAGGAUGUUUUCAUUGA